UACGUAGGGGGCUAGCGUUGUCCGGAUUCAUUGGGCGUAAAGGGCGCGUAGGCGGCUAGUUGUGUCAAAGGUGAAAUCCCUCGGCUCAACUGAGGAACUGCCUUUGAAACUGUCUGGCUUGAGGCCGGGAGAGGGUAGCGGAAUUCCCAGUGUAGCGGUGAAAUGCGUAGAUAUUGGGAGGAACACCAGUGGCGAAGGCGGCUACCUGGACCGGUUCUGACGCUGAGGCGCGAAAGCGUGGGUAGCAAACAGG
rnacentral:rRNA from 1 species